rnacentral:rRNA from 1 species
GACGAACGCUGGCGGCGUGCCUAAUACAUGCAAGUUGAGCGAUGAAGAUUGGUGCUUGCACCAAUUUGAAGAGCAGCGAACGGGUGAGUAACGCGUGGGGAAUCUGCCUUUGAGCGGGGGACAACAUUUGGAAACGAAUGCUAAUACCGCAUAACAACUUUAAACAUAAGUUUUAAGUUUGAAAGAUGCAAUUGCAUCACUCAAAGAUGAUCCCGCGUUGUAUUAGCUAGUUGGUGAGGUAAAGGCUCACCAAGGCGAUGAUACAUAGCCGACCUGAGAGGGUGGUCGGCCACAUUGGGACUGAGACACGGCCCAAACUCCUACGGGAGGCAGCAGUAGGGAAUCUUCGGCAAUGGACGAAAGUCUGGCCGAGCAACGCCGCGUGAGUGAAGAAGGUUUUCGGAUCGUAAAACUCUGUUGGUAGAGAAGAACGUUGGUGAGAGUGGAAAGCUCAUCAAGUGACGGUAACUACCCAGAAAGGGACGGCUAACUACGUG